UACGUAUGGAGCAAGCGUUAUCCGGAUUUACUGGGUGUAAAGGGAGCGUAGGCGGCCCUGUAAGUCUGAUGUGAAAAUUUGGGGCUCAACCCCAAACGUGCAUUGGAAACUGCAGGGCUUGAGUGCCGGAGAGGCAGGCGGAAUUCCUAGUGUAGCGGUGAAAUGCGUAGAUAUUAGGAGGAACACCAGUGGCGAAGGCGGCCUGCUGGACGAUGACUGACGUUGAGGCUCGAAAGCGUGGGGAGCAAACAGG
rnacentral:rRNA from 1 species